GUCCCUCUGGUGGCCAUAUUUUGUCUUAAUUGAACGAACCACCCCCUCUAUGACUCUGCUAUUAUAAUCGACCGCUGUAGUGUUGGUGUGGAAGGGAGUUAUAAGGUUUUUGUUUGUUUUUGACCGCUGUAGUGUUGGUGUGGAAGGGAGUUACAAGGUUUUUUUUUUUUUUUUCGGGUUAGCCUCAGGUUGUUGUGAAGGUAUCGAACAAGUAACCUUUGGAUCUCAUGCUGUUUGGUCACUUACCUUGUAGCUGCCAAACCGAGUCUCAUUGUUAUUAGAAAUGGAAGAUUCUCGUAGAAAAGUCAUGGGUUCCGUGUGGAAGAAAUUGCAGCUAUGUACAAUACUCCAGUUAGAACUUUCUACCGUCGAAUGAAAGACAUGGAUAUUUCCGUUAGAGGAAAGUAUAGCAACAUCACAUUGGAUUCCCUUGAGCAGAAAAUUACAGACAUCUCUGCUGAGAAUAAUCGUGUUGGGGAGAAAAUCAUUAGGGCUAGACUACAAGGACAAGGUGACAUUGUUCAACGCUCAAGAAACAGACAGGCAAUUCAAAACACUGUUGGCCCUCGUCCAAGGCCACCAAGAUUGACCAGGAGAGAAUAUAGCUCUCGUGCUGCAUUAUCUGUCUGGCAUGGUGAUGGGCUACAC
rnacentral:lncRNA from 1 species